GAUGAACGCUGGCGGCGUGCCUAAUACAUGCAAGUCGAGCGAACAGACGAGGAGCUUGCUCCUCUGACGUUAGCGGCGGACGGGUGAGUAACACGUGGAUAACCUACCUAUAAUACUGGGAUAACUUCGGGAAACCGGAGCUAAUACCGGAUAAUAUAUUGAACCGCAUGGUUCAAUAGUGAAAGACGGUUUUGCUGUCACUUAUAGAUGGAUCCGCGCCGCAUUAGCUAGUUGGUAAGGUAACGGCUUACCAAGGCAACGAUGCGUAGCCGACCUGAGAGGGUGGUCGGGCACACUGGAACUGAGACACGGUCCAGACUCCUACGGGAGGCAGCAGUAGGGAAUCUUCCGCAAUGGGCGAAAGCCUGACGGAGCAACGCCGCGUGAGUGAUGAAGGUCUUCGGAUCGUAAAACUCUGUUAUUAGGGAAGAACAAAUGUGUAAGUAACUAUGCACGUCUUGACGGUACCUAAUCAGAAAGCCACGGCUAACUACGUG
rnacentral:rRNA from 1 species